rnacentral:rRNA from 1 species
ACGGAGGGUGCAAGCGUUGUUCGGAAUUAAUGGGCGUAAAGGACGCGUAGGCGGUAAUGAAAGUCAGAUGUGAAAUAAUUCGGCUCAACUGAAGAACUGCAUCUGAAACUUCAUAACUAGAGUACAGAAGAGGGAAACGGAAUUCCCGGUGUAUAGUUGAAAUUCGUAGAUAUCGUGAGGAACACCAGUGGCGAAGGCGGUUUCCUGGUCUGAUACUGAGGCUGAGGCGUGAAAGUGUGGGGAGCAAACAG